rnacentral:rRNA from 1 species
AUGUUGUAUUAUGCGAGUGAAGUGGGAAAAGCUCAAAUUUAAAAUCUGGUAGUCUUUGAUUACCCGAGUUGUAAUCUAGAGAAGUGUUAUCCGCGCUGGACCGUGUACAAGUCUCCUGGAAUGGAGCGUCAUAGAGGGUGAGAAUCCCGUCUUUGACACGGACUCCCAGGGCUUUUGUGAUGCGCUCUCAAAGAGUCGAGUUGUUUGGGAAUGCAGCUCUAAAUGGGUGGUAAAUUCCAUCUAAAGCUAAAUAUUGGCGAGAGACCGAUAGCGACAAGUACCGUGAGGGAAAGAUGAAAAGAACUUUGGAAAGAGAGUUAAACAGUACGUGAAAUUGUUGAAAGGGAAACGCUUGAAGUCAGUCAUGUUAGCCAGGGAUCAGCCUUGUCUUUGGACUUGGUGUACUUUCUGGUUGACAGGUCAGCAUCAAUUUUGACUGAUAGAUAAAGGUCAGGGGAAUGUGACAUCUUUUUGAUGUGUUAUAGCCCUUGGUUGAAUAUGUCAGUUGGGAUUGAGGAACUCAGCAUGCCGCAAGGCCGGGUUUUAAACCACGUUACAUGCUUAGGAUGCUGGCAAAAUGGCUUUAAUCGACCCGUCUUGAAACACGGACCAAGGAGUCUAACAUGCCUGCGAGUGUUUGGGUGGAAAACCCAUGCGCGUAAUGAAAGUGAAAAUCAGGAUCCCUGUCAUGAGGAGCACUGAUGCCCGGACUAGAUCUUUUAGUGACAGUUCCGCGGUAGAGCAUGUAUGUUGGGACCCGAAAGAUGGUGAACUAUGCCUGAAUAGGGUGAAGCCAGAGGAAACUCUGGUGGAGGCUCGUAGCGAUUCUGACGUGCAAAGCGAUCGUCGAAUCUGUGGGACACCGUCGUAGGUGUAAAAACCGUUUAUAUGUAGAGAACUAUUCCC